rnacentral:lncRNA from 1 species
CAAUGAACCACACAACUACAACAGCUCUCAUUGGCAGCACUGAUUGGACUUAAAACUGCAACCUUGCAUUUUACAUUUCUGCAUCCAAUUAGCUGUUAUGAGAAGCAACCAAACUCUUAAAGCUGUACUAGUUAAAGAAAACUCAGUAUUUGAUUUACAAUGGAAGUUAUUUAAGAAGAAACAACCUUGAACAGUGAACAGUGAUCUCAGCAUUCAUAUAGCAGUGAACUUCAGAUACAGUAACUGCAUUGCUAUGUGCUAUGACAACUUUCCCAUGGGGAAGAAAUGACCUGGUAGUUCAAGAAUGACAAAGUCACAAGUAAGAGAUGUCCAUCCUACAUCAGUUUUUGGCCAUUCAUUAACCGGGUGUCUUCAGUUACAUAUGAAAAGUUCAAUCACCUCUUUGCCAAAGGAGAAGUUUCUAUCAUAGCUCAGGGUGAAGAGUGGCAAAAGCUAAGUAAAGGGAAACUGUUUGAAGUUAUGAGAUCUGUUCCCUUUUUCCAUGGAAGUACUGAGCUAGAACCUCACCUGGUACAAAAGUGUAUAAUGUAACUGGAAGAGAGGCAACAUCAGCAAAUUAAUCAGAGGACAGAGGCUAACACCUGACCACAAAGUGGCUUCUGGAACAAUUCAAAACUUCAUAACCAUUGGAAUCUGAUAUGUUGAAUAAACACUUAAGCAUUCAGUAUCCACCACUACUUGGACUGACUACAACUUGGACAUGCGCAGCUGUAUAGGGAUGUAGCAUCACAUGCAAUUGAUGUUAAAAUACAUUCUCCUGUCAGGCUAGCUAAAUGUUUGCUUACCUGCAAAGUAA